rnacentral:rRNA from 1 species
GAUCCUGGCUCAGGAUGAACGCUGGCGGCGUGCUUAACACAUGCAAGUCGAACGAAGCAAUUUGGCAGAAGUUUUCGGAUGGAAGCUGGAUUGACUGAGUGGCGGACGGGUGAGUAACGCGUGGGUAACCUGCCUUAUACAGGGGGAUAACAGUCAGAAAUGACUGCUAAUACCGCAUAAGCGCACGGAACCGCAUGGUUCAGUGUGAAAAACUCCGGUGGUAUAAGAUGGACCCGCGUUGGA